CAGCUAGUUUUAAUCACUUUGUACACUGCAGGGUAGUUUGUGAAUUUACUUCAGGUGAAACUAAAGUCUUGUUUAAGUGCUGAUUAUAUUUCCCAUAAUUAAUCUAAGUCUAAAUAGUAACUAAAGGUUCAAAAUAAAUGUAUGGGAGGAAAAGUACAUAAUGUUCCUCUGAAUUCUACUAGAGUAGAACAAAGUAGCAACUGGAAAUAUUCAUGUAAAGUACAAGUAUUUCAAAAUUGUACUUAAGUUCAGUACUUGAAUAAAUGUACUUAGUGACUUCCCACCUCUGCGUUUUUUAUUGUUUGCGAUGUGCGUUUAUCAAAACCUGAAGACUGCCAUAUGAGGAGCGACAAGGGGUUUUAUUGUGAAAAUAACAUCCGGAAGUCUAAAACGUAACGCUGCGUGGGUUGAAUCUUGAGACACCCAUUUCAAGUCCACCCCGCCUGCCCUGGCUGCUGGGUCAGUUCAUCCCUCUCCUGCAGCCAGAUUUGCCAGCCUGGAUGCCGGAUGUAUCACCGCAGAUAUUCUACCGCAACAGGUAAAUAACCAGGAACCAGGAGAGGGUCUCUCUGCCGGCCAUUCGUUAAUAACAAGUAAAUCGUACAAAAUGUUUUCAUUUUCGCCUUCUAUCAGCCAUGUUUACUUGAACAACCUGUCAAAAAAAGUCUACGGGGAGCAGCACUGGACAACAUUUAUCAGGGAACCGCGUUUGGAAAAUGUAGCUUAUAGUCCAAGUUAAGUAUUCUCAUGGCUUGAUAAUAACUUAAAUGCUAUGAGAUUUAAACACAGACAUAUAUGCUGUCGUAGCCCUUCUUGUAUAUUUUGCAAUUAUAUAUUAACCGUAUUUUACGAACUAAUUCACCAACCGGAACCAAUGAUACAAGGCUUAUUUGCAGGACCACUAAAGGAGUUGCACCGGCAGCGUUUUCGGGUAAGAAUAUAUAUCAAUCUAACCGUGUUGAUGUCGCAUACAUUUCAAAAUGUUCAAAGUUGGGCUCAAACUGAAAUGGGUGUUAUGCCUGAAAUAGCGCAGGCUGUGGAAGAGUUAGACUGGCUGUAAGUCAUUCAGGCUUACUUGGCCAAAUCUACGUCUGUUUUGUGAUAUCUGUGCACAUUGUUUCGACCUGUUAGACAUUUCUGCAAGCUUAACAGUUGACACUAAACUGAUUUAUAUUGCAAUCAUUGCGUGUCAGGCUACCUACUGACAUCCAGGCAGAGUCUAUUCCAUGUAUUCUUGGUGGAGGAGAUGAGCUUAUGGCAACAGAAAAUGGUAGUGGUAAAACAGGGGUAAUGACCUGGGUGUGGCUUUUGAGAUCCCUCAACAAUUGAAGAGUCAGCCCUUCUUUGCCUCCUGCAUUCUAAAAAAUGCAGAGCUGAAGUUCAACUCUGGAGGAGAAGACUUUAAAAAUGCCCCCAAGAGUGGGUUUGUUGCCAUGGACCAGGCGCCACACAGUCAAAUCUACCCAGGCAGGCAAUGCCAAAGUGAGUCAG